CUUUGGUUAUCUAGCUGUAUGAGUGUUAAAUACCUGUCAUAAAGCUAGAUAACCGAAAGUAAAAAUGGCUUCCGUAACGUUGGGAACCGCUCGGGCUUUAAAGUCACCACAGUGGAUUUUGACUUUCACCUCAAAAAAGGUUUUCUAUUAACGUCGCUGAAUGAUGGGGUUUUCCUGAAACGAUGGUAUAACCCUCAUUAAAAGCAAACGAGGAGAGAGAGAGAGAUAGAGAGAGAGAAGGAAACGCGGUCACCCCGGAAUUGCCACCUCCUCCUCCUCCUCCUUCCUCUCCUCCUUCACCCUUUUUUACCCUGCAGCCUCUUAUGCCAUCUGUACUGCCAACGGGGAACACUUGCCCGUGCCAGGAGGCGGAGAAAGACCCUGCCAGUUCCCUGGAGUAUGGGCGCACUCAGAGGAGCCAUCUUGGGAGAUGUUGCCGCGACACCUAAAAUGGCUGGGCUUGGCAUACAAGAGUGCAGAUGUUUAUGGAGUCAGGUUUGAUUCUCAUGCUAAUGAUUCCCUCCAUCGCCGCGAUCUGAGAGAGUGACUCUGGCGCGAGGAACUCAACUAAAUGCCGUCAUCGGAUUUCUUGAGAAACAUCAAGUCAUCUUUACGUGUCAACAAAACACUGUGAGAGUGAAGAGAAACAAUAGAUGUACUGCUUAACUAUGGAAUGUAUACCUCAAGAGGUAGAUGUGUCUGUUGUCCUUAGAAAUAUCAGGCUUAUUUGAAGAAAUUCUGUUCAAUAUGACAUGUAUUUAUUAAAAGAAACUGUUCAUAAAGAAAUGAUUAUUCCCUCUUUAUUCAUACUCAAUGAUUUGUAUGUAUUUCCAUGCAUUUUUCACAUCAUGGCAAACUGAAGUAUUAUGUUAAAUUAUGCUAAUUCAUUGAAGUGAUGUAAAUAAUCUUAUGUUAAUGACAUUUAUUUUUUUAAAUAAAAAUGAUGAAAAUCUUA